GCGGUGGUGGUAUAGUGGUCAGCAUAGCUGCCUACCAAGCAGUUGGACUGGGUUUGAUUCCCAGCCAUUGCA